rnacentral:tRNA from 1 species
UAGCUCAGUCAUUUGAGCAUGGUGCUGAUAACACCAAGGUCGCGGGUUUGAUUCCCGC